GCCUGGCUGGCUCAGUUCGGGGAGCAUGUGACUCUUGAUCUCAGGGUCGUGAGUUUGAGCCACACGUUGGGUG
rnacentral:tRNA from 1 species